rnacentral:lncRNA from 10 species
CAUUGAGACUUCUUGGAAAGGACAGUGCUCCUUCUAACGCACCACAGCUGCUCCUGAAUCAAAAGAGGACGCACUUCCAUUGGGUUGGAAUGUUCCGCAUGCAGGUGUAUGAGGAAGAGUUAUUUGAACUGGUUCUUGACUGAAUUAUAGGGUUUGGCUAGGUGGUGGAAGAAGACAAGUUUAUACCUGGACUGGAGGGAUUAGCAUGACUGAAGCCACAGGUUGGAAAAUGCAAGGUGUAUUUGGACGACUGUGUGUAGACUGUUUUGGCUGGAGAAGAGGGCUCAUUCCUGUUACAAAAUGGCACCCAGCCAAAGAGAGGAGAACAAUGAAGAUUGCUUCUGCCAUUGUUGCGAUUUGGGAUUUUCAGGCACCUCUGUUAAAUGAGGACAAACAGUGCUGACCUUCUCUUGCAGGCAGGCUGGGAUUCUGAAUCAUCAGUGACUGGGAAGUGGUGUGCUCCAUUAUCUGAGGCAUGAUAUUAUAUCCACCAGCUAUUUCGUUCAUGCAGUUGGAUUUCUGCUCCAUUGAAAUGAUUCUCUCAGUGUGAGCUCAAUAACAAGGGGCAUGAUGGUAGUUUUUCUGUGUUGCCAGAAACUAGGUCUGAAUUUCUUCCAGCGCCUCCUGCUCUAAAGCACCUCUUAUGAUUAAUUAACCUUUUGUGGAGUAACUAGGACAUCUGUGUGGGAUGAGAUGUACUUUGGUCAGACUUCAGUUUUUAGUUGUUCAGCAAGAGGAUAAUUAAUUAUAAGAGCUGAAUCUGAACAGAAGAUUGUUGGAGGAAGUCCAAAUGAAGCAAAACAUCUAAUUAUCAAUGAACAGGAAGUUUUUUUUUAGUUGUCGUUAUUGUGGGAGUGAAUAAAAUACUUAAUGCAAUAUAAAUAAGAG